GAUCGCCUCCACACUCCUGCCGGCCUGCGCUGUUCGGCCGUUCCGGUUAAGCAGAGGCUGAACGUGCCCGGUGGCGGGGGUUCCCGGUGGUGGCCCGGAGUCCUAGCCUGGAGUGAAGGAGACGACUUUAUGCAACCAUUCGCUUAGAGACUGGGAAAAAAAACGAUUUAAAUUGACUCAUCGAUUCUGUUGCAUCUAAUGCCAAAAGGGCCUAUUACCAGAAAAUAAGUUUGUAGCAAAGUAGAAGAAAAUUGUGAUCAGGUGAGAGAAUUUAUUUUUAUAAUCAAUUUUUUAGGCCUUUGAUAUUACCCUGAUUAUAUAUGGUACUACUAGUGUACUGAUUAUGUAUCAUUCUAUAUUACCUCUUUUCUGUAGGAGCAAGCUUAUUUUCAUACACCGUGGGAUGUAGAAUUAAACAAGGUUUUAAGAACUAGAGGGCACAACUCAUUCUUUGUGUCUCUUUCAAUCUCAGUAAGAAUUAUUCAGAAUUCUUCCACUGGUAAUGGUAGAUCCAGGAAGAGCCAGAAGGUUCAGGAACAGUUUUUGCCUUUUCUUUUUUGCUUUUUAGCAACCCUAUUAACUGGGUUUUUUGUUUUUUGUUUUUUGUUUGUUUGUUUGUUUUUGUUUGUUUUGUUUUUGGAGACAGGGUCUCACUCUAUCUCCCAGGCUGUAGUUCAGUGGUGCAAUCAUGGCACACUGCAGCGUCAACCUCCUGGGCCCAAGCGAUCCUCCCACCUCAGGCUCCCAAGUCGCUGGGACCACCGGUGUGCACCGUCAUGCAUGCACCUAGGGUCUCCCUGGGUUGCCCAGGCUGGUCUCGAACUCCUGGGCUCAAGCAGUCCACUGCCUCAGGCUCCCAGUGUGCAGGGAUUACAGGUGUGAGCCACCAUGCCUGGUCCCUGAUGUCUUUCUCCAUCACCAUUUGACAUGUUACCUCUUCCUUCAGAAUUUCUUUUUUUUUUUUUUUUUUUUGAGACAGGGUUUCGCUGGGUUGCCCAGGCUGGAGUGCAGUGGCGUGAUCUCAGCUCACUGCAGCCUCUGCCUACUGAGUUCAAGCAACUCUCUGCCUCAGCCUCCUGAGUAGCUGGGAUUACAGACGCCCACCACCAUGCCCAGCUUAUUUAUUUAUUUAUUUUUGUAUUUUUAGUAGAGAUGGGGUUUCACCAUCUUCACCAGGCUGGUCUUGGACUCCUGACCUCGUGAUCCACUCGUCUCAGCCUCCCAAAGUGCUGGGAUCACAGGCAUGAGCCACCGUGCCUUGCCCUUCCUUCAGAAUUUCUAUGUCAGUCCCUUUCUCUCCAUUCCUAGUCAUUCAGCAGACAUUUAUCAAGAUCUGCUGUGUUUCAAGACAAAUGAAUGAGUUAUACAGUUCCCAGCCUACGGGGCACAGUCGCAGGCCAAGCCUUUGCCACCUCUUACUAGGAGUAAUAGCACUGCACAUUCUCAGGCUUGGUCUCUCUCCACACUUGCUCCCCUCUGCUUCAGUACAUGUUAUCAUAGCAGUUCUCAAGGUAUCCAUGUUGCCUGACUCAGCUGUUUUGAUUAACUUGCAGGAGUCUACUGUCUGUACUCUGUUGUCCUACUUAAGUAUGGCUGACUUUAGAAGCUUCUCAGAAGCUGUACCAGAGAGAAGGCACAUCAAUGCUGUUUUCCACACAGCCUGUGUUGGUGGGCUUGCAGUCAUUUUAGUUCCAGCAUUCGUGCCCUAGUCAGGACACUAUGGCAUGUAUUGCUCUUUGUGCUUAGUUUAUCAUCAGCAUGUAUCGUCAAGUGCAAAAGUAGUGAUGCCGUCAAAGGCCUAAUGAAUGGAGACAGAUAAGAGAGCAAACAAAAGUAUACGUAAUUCAGUAAAACUGAUUGGAAGAGGUAAAUGUUACUUGGGUCUAAUAAGUAGAGACAGAUAAGAGCAAACACAAGUAUACCUAAUUCAGUAAAACUGAUUGGAAGGGAUAAAUGUUACCUGGAUAUAUAAAUUUUGAUGUUAGGAAUUUGACAUGUUGCAACAUUUGAAAAGUGCUAUAUGUGUGGAGUCUACCAGAUGUCAACAAAAGGCUAGGAAAAGUAACUGAUAAUAUAACACAGUUCAAUGCUGUCAUUAUCAGAUUAUCUACAUCUUCCCUAUUUCCCUACAUAUCUAGAAAUUGACAAGUGGAAUUGAACUUGCAGGAGCCAGAUGUGAUUAAAGAAUCUGAAGAGUAAAUAGUGCCCUGCUUGCAGACAGAUUUAUUUCCAUCAUUGUACAAGUCAGAGCAACUCUAAUUUGUAGGACUGGGGUGGAUCACAGCUGUGCAUUAAAACUCAACCAAGUUCUAUGAGAGAAUGAUGGUGCACAGCCACUAUCAUUCUUGAUGAAUUCAUUGUGUACGGAAGGUGCCUUAGGGCUUAACUUUCUAUUGGAGUCCAGUUGAGAAGCUAGGAAAUGCUUAAUGCUCAGUAAGGAACUGUGUGUUAGUUCAUUGGACUAGAACCAGAAGUCCUUUUGAACAGUGACCAAGCACUAAGAUUUCUAUACGAAGGCAGUUUAGGAAAUACUACACAAGAAGCACUGGAAGUAGCCUAGCAGUCUAACAGUGAAAGAACGGUUAAGUACGUGAGAGUAGAUCCUGUUGGUGAAGGAUGUAGUCAUUGUAAAUUAUGGUUUUUUUUAAGUUUCAGCGUUAUAAAUCUUCAUUCUUUGACUUAUGCUGUGCAAAUUAUUUAAUCUUUAAUACCUAAAUCACAAUGGCAGGAAUAAAAAGAUGUUACGUUUAAACCAUUAAACACUUAGAAGGUGCUCAGUAAAUGGUGAAUAUAUGUUUAUUACCAUGUAUCAAAUGAAAAAAUAAUUUGUUAAAUUGUUUCAAUGGAGGCUGCAAAAUUAUGUAUAUAUGCCAUGAUUACAAACCUUUUUCUUUUUAGAGACAGGAUCUUCCUCUGUCACCCAGGCUCAUAUGCAGUGGCAUGAUCAUGGCUUACUGCAGCUUCAAACUCCUGGGCUCAAGCAAUCCUUUCACCUCAGCCUCCCAAGUAACUGGGACUACAGGCACAUGUCACCUUGACUGCUAAUUUUUUUUUUUUAAUUUAUUGUAGAGACAGGGUCUUGCUCUGUUGCACAGGCUGGUCUCAAACUCCUGGCCUCAAGCCGUCCUCCCACCUUGGCCUCCCAAAGUGCUGGCAUUACAGGCAUGAGCCACCACACCUGGCCUACAAAUAUAUAUUUGUAUAUUAUAUGUAUUUUGGAUGUGUAUAUACACAUAUACACAAAUAAGAAAAGACAAAAGAGAAUGCUUUUGUCUUUUCUUAUUUUGACACUCUAAUGCCAGCCAUGGCUGUUAAAGAAUGAUUUUAAUAAAAUACACUGUACUUGUUCA